rnacentral:lncRNA from 1 species
UUGGUUUAAGCCUUUUGCAUGAUUUAAAAGACAACCUAUCCUUAAUGCAAAGCCAUUCACUUGAUCAAUUGAUCAAGACGAAUUAGAUUUGAGUCAAGGAAGGUUAAAUCCCUCUAAUCAAUGCUAACUUAUCAACCUUCAACUCAUUGAUAAAAAAGAAAAAGAAAAAGAAGAAGAAGAAGGAGAUGGAUAAGAGAAAAG